ACUCUGGGGUGGGAGGGGCCUGCUGGGGCUAGGACAACAACAUAACAGAGGGUUAGAGGACAGGGUUACAGUACUGGGGUCUAUAGACUCUGGGGGGGGGACAACAACAUAUCAGAGGGUUAGAGGACAGGGUUACAGUACUGGGGUCUAUAGACUCUGGGGGGGGGGGGACAACAUAACAGAGGGUUAGAGGACAGGGUUACAGUACUGGGGACUAUAGACUCUGGGGUGGGAGGGGCCUGCUGGGGCUAGGACAACAUAACAGAGGGUUAGAGGACAGGGUUACAGUACUGGGGUCUAUAGACUCUGGGGGGGGGGGGCAACAACAUAACAGAGGGUUAGAGGACAGGGUUAUAGUACUGGGCUCUAUAGACUCUGGGGGGGGGGGACAACAACAUAACAGAGGGUUAGAAGACAGGGUUAUAGUACUGGGGUCUAUAGACUCUGGGGGGGGGGACAACAUAACAGAGGGUUAGAGGACAGGGUUAUAGUACUGGGGUCUAUAGACUCUGGGGUGGGAGGGGCCUGCUGGGGCUGGACAGUAUAACAGAGGGUUAGAGGACAGGGUUACAGUACUGGGGUCUAUAGACUCUGGGGGGGGGGACAUGACAGAGGGUUAGAGGACAGGGUUACAGUACUGGGGUCUAUAGACUCUGGGGGGGGGGCUGACAGAGGGUUAGAGGACAGGGGUUACAGUACUGGGGUCUAUAGACUCUGGGGGGGGACAUGACAGAGGGUUAGAGGAAGGGUUUAUAGUAAUGGGGUCUAUAGACUCUGGGGGGGGGACAUGACAGAGGGUUAGAGGACAGGGUUAUAGUACUGGGGGUCUAUAGACUCUGGGGGGGGGACAUGACAGAGGGUUAGAGGACAGGGUUAUAGUACUGGGGUCUAUAGACUCUGGGGGGGGACAUGACAGAGGGUUAGAGGACAGGGGUUAUAGUACUGGGGUCUAUAGACUCUGGGGGGGGACAUGACAGAGGGUUAGAGGACAGGGUUAUAGUACUGGGGUCUAUAGACUCUGGGGGGGGGGGGGGGGCAACAACAUAACAGAGGGGUUAGAGGACAGGGUUAUAGUACUGGGCUCUAUAGACUCUGGGGGGGGGACAACAACAUAACAGAGGGUUAGAGACAGGGUUAUAGUACUGGGGGUCUAUAGACUCUGGGGGGGGGGACAACAUAACAGAGGGUUAGAGGACAGGGUUAUAGUACUGGGGGUCUAUAGACUCUGGGGUGGGAGGGGCCUGCUGGGGCUGGACAGUAUAACAGAGGGUUAGAGGACAGGGUUACAGUACUGGGGGUCUAUAGACUCUGGGGGGGGGGGGGGGACAUGACAGAGGGUUAGAGGACAGGGUUACAGUACUGGGGUCUAUAGACUCUGGGGGGGGGGCAUGACAGAGGGUUAGAGGACAGGGUUACAGUACUGGGGUCUAUAGACUCGGGGGGGGACAUGACAGAGGGUUAGAGGAAGGGUUAUAGUAAUGGGGUCUAUAGACUCUGGGGGGGGGACAUGACAGAGGGUUAGAGGACAGGGUUAUAGUACUGGGGUCUAUAGACUCUGGGGGGGGACAUGACAGAGGGUUAGAGGACAGGGUUAUAGUACUGGGGUCUAUAGACUCUGGGGGGGGGGGGGGCAACAACAUAACAGAGGGUUAGAGGACUGGGUUACAGUACUGGGGGUCUAUAGACUCUGGGGGGGGGGGGGGGCAUGACAGAGGGUUAGAGGACAGGGUUACAGUACUGAGGUCUAUAGACUCUGGGGGGGGGGGGGCAUGACAGAGGGUUAGAGGACAGGGUUACAGUACUGGGGUCUAUAGACUCUGGGGGGGGGGCAACAACAACAUAACAGAGGGUUAGAGGACAGGGUUACAGUACUGGGGUCUAUAGACUCUGGGGGGGGGGGGGGGGCAACAACAUAACAGAGGGUUAGAGGACAGGGUUCACAGUACUGGGGUCUAUAGACUUUGGGGGGGGGCUGGGACAACAUAACACAGCACACACACACAAAACACACACACACACAAAACACACAAAACACACACACACACACACACACAACACACAAGCGCUCCAAAAAUGUAGGUUUCUCUUCAAUACCUAGAGAAUGUCCGUAAUGCGUGGGUAACUGCACCCACAGGGUGACUAGUGUGACUACCUGUUAUUCAUGGCUUGUUCAGGAAAAC
ensembl:lncRNA